GACGAACGCUGGCGGCGUGCUUAACACAUGCAAGUCGAACGGAAAGGCCUUUUCGGCGGUACUCGAGUGGCGAACGGGUGAGUAACACGUGGGUGAUCUGCCCUGCACUCUGGGAUAAGCCUGGGAAACUGGGUCUAAUACCGGAUAGGACCGCACUUUAGUGUGUGUGGUGGAAAGUUUUUUCGGUGUAGGAUGAGCCCGCGGCCUGUCAGCUUGUUGGUGGGGUAAUGGCCUACCAAGGCGGCGACGGGUAGCCGGACUGAGAGGUUGGUCGGCCACAUUGGGACUGAGAUACGGCCCAGACGCCGACGGGAGGCAGCAGUGGGGAAUAUUGCACAAUGGGCGCAAGCCGGAUGCAGCGACGCCGCGUGGGGGAUGACGGCCUUCGGGUUGUAAACUCCUUUCGCCAGGGACGAAGCGUUUUGUGACGGUACCUGGAGAAGAAGCACCGGCUAACUACGUG
rnacentral:rRNA from 1 species